rnacentral:rRNA from 1 species
UACGUAGGGGGCAAGCGUUAUCCGGAUUUACUGGGUGUAAAGGGAGCGUAGGCGGCGAUGCAAGUCAGAAGUGAAAGCCCGGGGCUCAACUCCGGGACUGCUUUUGAAACUGUAUGGCUAGAUUGCAGGAGAGGCAAGUGGAAUUCCUAGUGUAGCGGUGAAAUGCGUAGAUAUUAGGAGGGACACCAGUGGCGAAGGCGGCUUGCUGGACUGUAAAUGACGCUGAGGCUCGAAAGCGUGGGGAGCAAACAGG